rnacentral:rRNA from 1 species
AGUGAACGCUGGCGGCAGGCCUAACACAUGCAAGUCGAACGGCAGCACAGGGGAGCUUGCUCCCUGGGUUGCGAGUGGCGGACGGGAGAGCAAUACAUCGGACUCUACCCUGUCGUGGGGGAUAAUUCGGGGAAACUUACCCUAAUACCGCAUACGACCUCCGGGUGAGAGCUGGGGAUCGCAAGACCUUGCUCGAUUGCAUGAUCCGAUGUCCGAUUAGCUAGUUGGCGGGGUAAAGGCCCACCAAGGCCACGAUCGGUAGCUGGUCUGAGAGGAUGAUCAGCCACACUGGAACUGAGACACGGUCCAGACUCCUACGGGAGGCAGCAGUGGGGAAUAUUGGACAAUGGGCGAAAGCCUGAUCCAGCCAUGCCGCGUGGGUGAAGAAGGCCUUCGGGUUGUAAAGCCCUUUUGUUGGGAAAGAAAACUUUCCGGUUAAUACCCGGAGAGAAUGACGGUACCCAAAGAAUAAGCACCGGCUAACUUCGUG